UACGUAGGGUGCAAGCGUUAAUCGGAAUUACUGGGCGUAAAGCGUGCGCAGGCGGCUAUGCAAGACAGAUGUGAAAUCCCCCGGGCUCAACCUGGGAACUGCAUUUGUGACUGCAUGGCUAGAGUACGGUAGAGGGGGAUGGAAUUCCGCGUGUAGCAGUGAAAUGCGUAGAUAUGCGGAGGAAUACCGAUGGCGAAGGCAAUCCCCUGGACCUGUACUGACGCUCAUGCACGAAAGCGUGGGGAGCAAACAGG
rnacentral:rRNA from 1 species